CAUUUCACAGAUAAAUUCAAUAUUGAAAUAUCAAUUAUUAAUACGUGUUUAAUUGCUUUGUUACUCUGCAAUUUGCACGAUUUGCUUUGCUAAACAAUGUUCUUAUAUAUACAAUGUUUACAAAAAUGCAUGAUAAAUCUGUAUUUUAUGACUUCUGACAAUAUAGGCACACCUCCAGAAAGGCACACCUCAAGAGUCGUGUCUAAAUGUAUAAUUGUUUUAUUUUUCAACAACAAAUUAAAUUUUAUAAAAGCAUGGGUGUAUAACGCACACUCUUAAAGUACAUCCAUUUUAUAUCAAUCAAUAUCUAAAAAUACCACAUUUCCAAUACUAAUUUAACAACCACAUGUACACA
rnacentral:lncRNA from 1 species